GGCGAACUCGGUCAGCUCGUACCCACUGGAACUUGCGUCGUCGUCGACGGCCACCUCAAGCUUCCUCCCGCCGGCACUAAACAGAAGAUCGAACUUCGCGCCUAUAAGGUCCUCCACGUCGGCCCAGUCGAUCCCGCCAAAUAUCCUCUGCCCAAAAUGAGACUCACUCUUGAGUUCCUCAGAGAUUUCGUUCAUCUUCGUUCAAGAACCAACACGGUACCUUCCUUCUUUUUUUGUCAUAAACUGUUAUUCUAAAAGUGUUAAUGAAUUUAGUUAUUAUGGCAUAAUCUUACUCUAUCAAGAAGUUUUAUAGUGUUAUCGUGAUUUUGUGACAUAACACGGAUUCUGACUGUAUGAGGGCAAAAACCUUUACUUAGUAUCUCGGUUUGGGAAAUUGUGGACGGAUAUUGUGAGAAAUUGAAGAAAAAAGAGAUCUCAAUUGUUAUAGAUAACCUUAAUUGAUUUGGUUGUUAUUACUUUUCGUAGUUAUACUUAUGUUGUGUUGUGUGUGAUUGCAGAUAUCUGCGGUGGCUAGAAUUAGAAAUGCUCUUGCAUAUGCUACGCAUACUUUUUUCAACAAAGAAGGGUUUCUUUACGUGCACACACCGAUUGUUACGACGAGUGACUGUGAGGGUGCGGGUGAGAUGUUUCAGGUGACGACUUUGCUGAGUGAGGCUGAGAGAUUGGAGAAGGAGUUGUUGCAGAAUCCGCCUCCUACGGAGGCAGAUGUGGAAGCGGCUAGGUUGGUUGUUAAGGAGAAAGGGGAUGUUGUGUCUCAGUUGAAAGCUGCCAAGGCGACUAAGCCAGAGAUUGGUGCUGCUGUGGAUCAGCUUAAGAAGGCGAAGGAGAGUUUGGCUAAGGUGGAGGAGAGGUCCAAGCUUAAGCCUGGGAUUCCUAAGAAGGAUGAUGGAAAGGUGGAUUAUGGGAAAGAUUUCUUUGCACGUCAAGCUUUUUUGACGGUUUCAGGUCAGCUUCAAGUUGAGUCUUAUGUGUGUGCACUUAGCAGUGUGUAUACCUUUGGCCCCACUUUUCGCGCGGAGAAUUCUCACACUUCCAGGCAUUUGGCUGAGUUUUGGAUGGUAGAACCUGAGAUAGCGUUUGCAGAGUUGAAGGUAUAUAAAAAUUUGAACUCAUUCAUAAGCUGAACUGUUUAAUUUGUCCAGUGCAAAGCUGCCUACUCUACAUGCUUUUAUAAGAUUUGAUGUUUUUAAUUUUUUGUGCUGGAAGCAGUAAAGUCCAUGGUUUUUGUGUUUUAUGUGUAGGAUGAUAUGAAUUGUGCCGAGGCGUAUGUGAAAUUUUUGUGUCAGUGGUUACUUGACAACUGCCUUGAGGAUAUGGAGUUUAUGGCUGAUAAGUUUGAUAAAGGUUGCAUUGAUCGUUUGAAGUUGGUUGCUUCCACCCCCUUUAUUCGAGUUUCGUAUACAGAAGCAGUGGAAAUACUAGAAGACGCUGUGAAGAAUGGUAAAAAAUUUGAGAAUGAAGUGAAAUGGGGUAUUGACUUAGCAUCUGAGCAUGAAAGGUACUUUGUAAUCUCUUUUUGGCCUUUUGGUCCAGCUCUUGUUCUUAUUAAUUUGUGUUGUGUGACAUCUUGAUGGAAUGGUGUUAUGCAGAUUCCUGACAGAGGUAAAAUUUCAGAAGCCAGUCAUUGUCUAUAACUACCCAAAAGAAAUCAAAGCAUUCUACAUGCGGCUCAAUGAUGACUUAAAAACAGUGGCUGCUAUGGAUGUGCUUGUACCAAAGGUGGCGUUCUGUGUUUUAUUUUGAACAUGUUUAUGGUGGAUAGCUAUAUUGAUGGUUUUUUGGCAUAAUAGAAGCAUGUAUUUAAGUAAAUGCAAUUUUUCAGGUGGGAGAGCUAAUUGGUGGAAGCCAAAGAGAAGAGCGUUAUGAUGUUAUUCAGUCAAGGUUCAUAUAUAUAUAUAUAUAUAUAUAUAUAUAUAUAUAUAAUAUGUUUACUGUUUUCCUGAUUUCUUUCCUUUGGUUAAUUGAUAUCAUUGGAAGUUAUUUGACUUAUAUUUUUAUGUUGCAGAAUAAAGGAAAUGGGUUUGCCUCUUGAGCCAUACGAGUGGUACCUUGAUCUGAGGCGGUAUGGAACAGUGAAACAUGCGGGAUUUGGGCUUGGCUUUGAAAGAAUGAUUCUCUUUGCAACGGGCCUGGAAAAUAUUAGAGAUGUGAUCCCCUUUCCACGAUAUCCUGGCAGAGCAGAUCUAUGAUCUUU
rnacentral:lncRNA from 1 species